GGGUCAGCGACUUAUAUUCUGUAGCAAGGUUAACCGAAUAGGGGAGCCGAAGGGAAACCGAGUCUUAACUGGGCGUUAAGUUGCAGGGUAUAGACCCGAAACCCGGUGAUCUAGCCAUGGGCAGGUUGAAGGUUGGGUAACACUAACUGGAGGACCGAACCGACUAAUGUUGAAAAAUUAGCGGAUGACUUGUGGCUGGGGGUGAAAGGCCAAUCAAACCGGGAGAUAGCUGGUUCUCCCCGAAAGCUAUUUAGGUAGCGCCUCGUGAAUUCAUCUCCGGGGGUAGAGCACUGUUUCGGCAAGGGGGUCAUCCCGACUUACCAACCCGAUGCAAACUGCGAAUACCGGAGAAUGUUAUCACGGGAGACACACGGCGGGUGCUAACGUCCGUCGUGAAGAGGGAAACAACCCAGACCGCCAGCUAAGGUCCCAAAGUCAUGGUUAAGUGGGAAACGAUGUGGGAAGGCCCAGACAGCCAGGAUGUUGGCUUAGAAGCAGCCAUCAUUUAAAGAAAGCGUAAUAGCUCACUGGUCGAGUCGGCCUGCGCGGAAGAUGUAACGGGGCUAAACCAUGCACCGAAGCUGCGGCAGCGACGCUUAUGCGUUGUUGGGUAGGGGAGCGUUCUGUAAGCCUGUGAAGGUGUGCUGUGAGGCAUGCUGGAGGUAUCAGAAGUGCGAAUGCUGACAUAAGUAACGAUAAAGCGGGUGAAAAGCCCGCUCGCCGGAAGACCAAGGGUUCCUGUCCAACGUUAAUCGGGGCAGGGUGAGUCGACCCCUAAGGCGAGGCCGAAAGGCGUAGUCGAUGGGAAACAGGUUAAUAUUCCUGUACUUGGUGUUACUGCGAAGGGGGGACGGAGAAGGCUAUGUUGGCCGGGCGACGGUUGUCCCGGUUUAAGCGUGUAGGCUGGUUUUCCAGGCAAAUCCGGAAAAUCAAGGCUGAGGCGUGAUGACGAGGCACUACGGUGCUGAAGCAACAAAUGCCCUGCUUCCAGGAAAAGCCUCUAAGCAUCAGGUAACAUCAAAUCGUACCCCAAACCGACACAGGUGGUCAGGUAGAGAAUACCAAGGCGCUUGAGAGAACUCGGGUGAAGGAACUAGGCAAAAUGGUGCCGUAACUUCGGGAGAAGGCACGCUGAUAUGUAGGUGAAGUCCCUCGCGGAUGGAGCUGAAAUCAGUCGAAGAUACCAGCUGGCUGCAACUGUUUAUUAAAAACACAGCACUGUGCAAACACGAAAGUGGACGUAUACGGUGUGACGCCUGCCCGGUGCCGGAAGGUUAAUUGAUGGGGUCAGCGCAAGCGAAGCUCUUGAUCGAAGCCCCGGUAAACGGCGGCCGUAACUAUAACGGUCCUAAGGUAGCGAAAUUCCUUGUCGGGUAAGUUCCGACCUGCACGAAUGGCGUAAUGAUGGCCAGGCUGUCUCCACCCGAGACUCAGUGAAAUUGAACUCGCUGUGAAGAUGCAGUGUACCCGCGGCAAGACGGAAAGACCCCGUGAACCUUUACUAUAGCUUGACACUGAACAUUGAGCCUUGAUGUGUAGGAUAGGUGGGAGGCUUAGAAGUGUGGACGCCAGUCUGCAUGGAGCCGACCUUGAAAUACCACCCUUUAAUGUUUGAUGUUCUAACGUUGACCCGUAAUCCGGGUUGCGGACAGUGUCUGGUGGGUAGUUUGACUGGGGCGGUCUCCUCCUAAAGAGUAACGGAGGAGCACGAAGGUUGGCUAAUCCUGGUCGGACAUCAGGAGGUUAGUGCAAUGGCAUAAGCCAGCUUGACUGCGAGCGUGACGGCGCGAGCAGGUGCGAAAGCAGGUCAUAGUGAUCCGGUGGUUCUGAAUGGAAGGGCCAUCGCUCAACGGAUAAAAGGUACUCCGGGGAUAACAGGCUGAUACCGCCCAAGAGUUCAUAUCGACGGCGGUGUUUGGCACCUCGAUGUCGGCUCAUCACAUCCUGGGGCUGAAGUAGGUCCCAAGGGUAUGGCUGUUCGCCAUUUAAAGUGGUACGCGAGCUGGGUUUAGAACGUCGUGAGACAGUUCGGUCCCUAUCUGCCGUGGGCGCUGGAGAACUGAGGGGGGCUGCUCCUAGUACGAGAGGACCGGAGUGGACGCAUCACUGGUGUUCGGGUUGUCAUGCCAAUGGCACUGCCCGGUAGCUAAAUGCGGAAGAGAUAAGUGCUGAAAGCAUCUAAGCACGAAACUUGCC
rnacentral:rRNA from 1 species